rnacentral:misc_RNA from 1 species
GAUGAAGAACGUAGUGAAAUGCGAUAAGUAGUGUGAAUUGCAGAAUUCAGUGAAUCAUCGAAUCUUUGAACGCACAUUGCGCCCCUUGGUAUUCCAUGGGGCAUGCCUGUUCGAGCGUCAUUUGUACCUUCAAGCUCUGCUUGGUGUUGGGUGUUUGUCUCGCCUCUGCGUGUAGACUCGCCUCAAAACAAUUGGCAGCCGGCGUAUUGAUUUCGGAGCGCAGUACAUCACGCGCUUUGCACUCAUAACGACGACGUCCAAAAGUACAUUUUUACACUCUUGACCUCGGAUCAGGUAGGGAUACCCGCUGAACUUAAGCAUAUCAAUAAGCGGAGGA